CAGACAACUUACGGGUGGCAGCAGUCGAGAAUCAUUCACAAUUGGGUGAAACCUGAUGUUGCGACUCUGCGUGGAAGGAUAAAGUCUUCGGAUGUAAACUCCUGUCAUGUGAGAGUAAGGAUUUGUGGGUAACUCCAUAAAUUUGAUAGUAUCACAAGAGGAAGAGACGGCUAACUCUGUGCCAGCAGCCGCGGUAAUACAGAGGUCUCAAGCGUCGUUCGGAAUCACUGGGCGUAAAGGGUGCGUAGGCGGCGUGGAAAGUCAGAUGUGAAAUCCGGGGGCUCAACCUCCGAAUUGCAUCCGAUACUACCAUGCUAGAGAACUGGAGGGGAGUCUGGAAUUCUUGGUGUAGCAGUGAAAUGCAUAGAUAUCAAGAGGAACACUAGUGGCGAAGGCGAGACUCUGGACAGUAUCUGACGCUCAUGCACGAAGGUCAGGGUAGCGAACGGGAUUAGAUACCCCGGUAGUCCUGACAGUAAACGGUGCACGUUUGGUGUGGGAGGAUUCGACCCCUUCUGCGCCGGAGCUAACGCGUUAAACGUGCUGCCUGGGAAGUACGAUCGCAAGAUUAAAACUCAAAGAAAUUGACGGGGACCCGCACAAGCGGUGGAUGAUGUGGUUUAAUUCGAUGCAACGCGAAAAACCUUACCCACCUUUGACAUGUAUGGAAUCCUUUAGAGAUGAAGGAGUGCUCGAAAGAGAGCCAUAACACAGGUGCUGCAUGGCUGUCGUCAGCUCGUGUCGUGAGAUGUUGGGUUAAGUCCCGCAACGAGCGCAACCCUUGCCAUUAGUUGCUACGAAAGGGCACUCUAAUGGGACUGCCGGUGAUAAACCGGAGGAAGGUGGGGAUGACGUCAAGUCCUCAUGGCCCUUAUAGGUGGGGCUACACACGUCAUACAAUGGCUGGUACAAAGGGUUGCCAACCCGCGAGGGGGAGCUAAUCCCAUAAAACCAGUCGUAGUCCGGAUCGCAGUCUGCAACUCGACUGCGUGAAGUCGGAAUCGCUAGUAAUCGUGGAUCAGAAUGUCACGGUGAAUACGUUCCCGGGUCUUGUACACACCGCCCGUCACACCAUGGGAGCGGGUUCUGCCAGAAGUAGUUAGCCUAACCGCAAGGAGGGCGAUACCACGGCAGGUCGAACGUA
rnacentral:rRNA from 1 species